rnacentral:lncRNA from 1 species
GCGAGGUUUAUGAAUUAACUUUAUUAAACAUGGCUGAAGCACAAACAAGACAUCAAGCUAAUUAAACACACCUUAAAAUUGAAAUUACGUACUGAUAAACUUGGAAGACUAAUUUAUAUCACACAUUUACACUGACUCCAUUAUUCCAUUGUCCACUAUCUCCCUCAAGCUGAAGAUAUGUAUCGACUGCUCGGAGGAGAUUUCUCGAGUAUAUUGGCGAUCGUCGGUGUUUGCUUUGGUGUUGGUGCUGCUUUGGGCGGAGGAGGCGGGGAUUUGGACCUUCGGAUAUAAUUUCCAUUCAAACCUGUCUUGGUCACGAAAAACUUACUUCCAAUGUUUUCUGUACCAAGGAAAGAAGACGUGGGAUGCUUGGAAGGACUUUGG